AGAGAGUGCAAGAGAACGUGAAACCGACAUAAUGGAAGCGGAUGGAGCCGACGUAUCUGGUGCGUAUUCAAUCGCUCGCGACGGCAAUCGUCUGUUCAGCAUUCCGCAAGGUUGUUGAGCGGGCGUUCGUUUGUCGGCGUGGACGAUGCACUUGCGUACGGAGUGCGCCGAGUGGGUUGACGGUGUCGUCGGAGGCGCGUUUAGAGGACUUGGCGUGGCAACACGUCGAGAACCCUGAACGUGCGGAAGGCGAGCGUCGUUGGCUUGUUGCUUGUGGGACGGGUGAAUUCGUGGGCGUGCGUUGCGGUGCGUGAGACUCGUGUACGACACAUGUGUCGUGCGCUUGCUUCGCGUAUCGUGUGCGUUCGUCUGCCCUCGUCCUCGACUCGGUGUAUAGUCGGUCACCCAUUUGACCCGUCUUGAAACACGGACCAAGGAGUUUAAGGUGUACGCGAGUCAUUGAGCUUAUUGUCGAAACUCAACGGCGUAAUGAAAGUGAGACUCUUGGAGUCGACGAUGUGAACGGGGCGCGUUUCGACGUUCUUCGUGCAACAUCGCCCCGUGACUUGGACUUGUCCUGUUGCGGAGGU
rnacentral:rRNA from 1 species